GACGAACGCUGGCGGCGUGCCUAAUACAUGCAAGUAGAACGCUGAAGAGAGGAGCUUGCUCUUCUUGGAUGAGUUGCGAACGGGUGAGUAACGCGUAGGUAACCUGCCUGGUAGCGGGGGAUAACUAUUGGAAACGAUAGCUAAUACCGCAUAAAAUGGAUUAUCGCAUGAUAAUCCAUUGAAAGGUGCAAAUGCAUCACUACCAGAUGGACCUGCGUUGUAUUAGCUAGUUGGUGGGGUAACGGCUCACCAAGGCGACGAUACAUAGCCGACCUGAGAGGGUGAUCGGCCACACUGGGACUGAGACACGGCCCAGACUCCUACGGGAGGCAGCAGUAGGGAAUCUUCGGCAAUGGACGGAAGUCUGACCGAGCAACGCCGCGUGAGUGAAGAAGGUUUUCGGAUCGUAAAGCUCUGUUGUAAGAGAAGAACGAGUGUGAGAGUGGAAAGUUCACACUGCGACGGUAUCUUACCAGAAAGGGACGGCUAACUACGUG
rnacentral:rRNA from 1 species